rnacentral:rRNA from 1 species
GAUGAACGCUGGCGGCGUGCCUAAUACAUGCAAGUCGAGCGAACGGACGAGAAGCUUGCUUCUCUGAUGUUAGCGGCGGACGAGUGAGUGACACGUGGAUAACCUACCUAUAAGACUGGGAUAACUUCGGGAAACCGGAGCUAAUACCGGAUAAUAUUUUGAACCGCAUGGUUCAAAAGUGAAGGACGGUCUUGCUGUCACUUAUAGAUGGAUCCGCGCUGCAUUAGCUAGUUGGUAAGGUAACGGCUUACCAAGGCAACGAUGCAUAGCCGACCUGAGAGGGUGAUCGGCCACACUGGAACUGAGACACGGUCCAGACUCCUACGGGAGGCAGCAGUAGGGAAUCUUCCGCAAAGGGCGAAAGCCUGACGGAGCAACGCCGCGUGAGUGAUGAAGGUCUUCGGAUCGUAAAACUCUGUUAUUAGGGAAGAACAUAUGUGUAAGUAACUGUGCACAUCUUGACGGUACCUAAUCAGAAAGCCACGGCUAACUACGUG